rnacentral:rRNA from 1 species
UACGGAGGGAGCUAGCGUUGUUCGGAAUUACUGGGCGUAAAGCGCGCGUAGGCGGCUUUGUAAGUUAGAGGUGAAAGCCCGGGGCUCAACUCCGGAAUUGCCUUUAAGACUGCAUCGCUAGAAUUGUGGAGAGGUAAGUGGAAUUCCGAGUGUAGAGGUGAAAUUCGUAGAUAUUCGGAAGAACACCAGUGGCGAAGGCGACUUACUGGACACAUAUUGACGCUGAAGUGCGAAAGCGUGGGGAGCAAACAGG